rnacentral:rRNA from 1 species
UACGGGGGGGGCAAGCGUUGUUCGGAAUUACUGGGCGUAAAGGGCUCGUAGGCGGCCAACUAAGUCAGACGUGAAAUCCCUCGGCUUAACCGAGGAACUGCGUCUGAUACUGGAUGGCUUGAAUCCGGGAGAGGGAUGUGGAAUUCCGGGUGUAGCGGUGAAAUGCGUAGAUAUCUGGAGGAACACCGGUGGCGAAGGCGGCAUCCUGGACCGGUAUUGACGCUGAGGAGCGAAAGCCAGGGGAGCAAACGGG